CUGACCUCAGGUGAUCCACCCGCCUUGGCCUCCCAAAGUGCUGGGAUUACAGGUGUGAGCCACCAUGCUUGGCCCGUUUUAAUUCUUAAAGCAAACUUAAGUCAUAUUUCUUGGGAGAUUUGUACCUGUAAUGUUUGAAACAUUGAAUGCUGUUUCUUCAUUAUUGAAAGGCUUUGUCAAUUUCCCUAGCUUUUCUGUACUCCUUCAUUCUUCUGUUAUAGCACUAUCAUAUUAUAAUGGUAUGUGUAUCUCUAGUCUGUGAACUUUUUUACGUCAGGGACCAUGGGGAGAUAACUGUAGCAAAGUGGUUAAGAACACAGGACAUGGAGAUCAGGCUACCCAGAUCCAAUGCUGCCUUUGCCAUUUACUGGCAGUUUAAUCUUAAGUUAUGUAACUUCUCUUUCUCAGUUCCUUCAUUUAUAAAAUGAGAAUAAUAAAUGAUAUCUACUUAUAGGGGGUUGUGAGAAUUUUAAGUAAUAAUACAUGUUAAGUGCAUAUAAUCACUACUCAGCAAUGUUAAGGUUCUUAGCUGUUCGGUAGCACAAACUCUUCACUGUGUAUGCUCUAAAUUUUGAUCAAUGUAUAAUAAACACAUUAACAUUACUGUGGUGUCAGGUACAACUUAGGAUUGAGCAGGUUAUGUGAUGUGAUAUGUGGAGCAGGUACAACUUGUUUUCAUUAAGAGGUAAGGAGCUUAACAUCAAGCCAGCACCGGAGAAAGAUGGCCUUUACUGGAACCAGUGAGCACUUUGCCUCAUGAAUAUAAUAAGAAUGUAGUUAGAUCAGAAAAUGAUUCUACUCAAAUAGCCACACAGGACUGAAUGGCAACCACAUAACUAGUGCGAUGAUUAUGGAGGUGCUUAUGGGCCCUGUGAGAAAUUAUGCCAUCGGAAUAAGUGUGCUAACUUGUUUAGUGAAUUUCUGAAUAUUUGGAUCUCUUCAAAUUUGAAAGCAAAAAAGUGUAGAAUUCCUAAUCCUAUAUAAAAUUGUAUCCAAUAAAUACAUAUUGAAUGAACCAAUUAAAAAA